rnacentral:lncRNA from 1 species
GAGAGCAAGAACAGCCCGCAGGUCCCGAGGCGCUUGCAGGGGACUCUGCCGCGGAAAGUUCCCAGUCCCCAGCCGCAGGUGUUUUCCCUCCUGCUGAUCGUGGAAAGAAAUCACCAAGAAGAGGGGAAAGUUGCCCCGGGGCCGAAGCUUUUUAUUUUUGGUUGAUUCCUGCUGUCUACUCCUCUUGGAUGCCUUUGUGAAACUGCUUCUAUCUGAGAAGGAGGAGUUGCCAUUUAGCAAGUAGUAGGUGGUACCGUGUGUGGCAGAGUCCGAUGUGUUACACCACGAGGACAUUCAUCUUUGCAAUUGGUGAAGUCCUUCUACCUAGUUCCCCUUCCUUGUGCACAGAAGAGGACUGGAAAACUCCUCACAGGACUGCAUACUGCUAUCUCUGAGAAACCAGAAAGAAGAAAGUACCUCUUCCUUCCAAGCUUCUACCUAAGAGUAUACUGGAAGGUUUACCUAGAGCAACAAGACAACGAAAUGGAUUGUCCUUCUCACGCUAGUCCACACACAAUCCUCAUCAUUUUGAUAAGAUAGCAUGAAGUCUCUUAUCGCUUGUGGAUCCAGCACUUUGGUUCAGAAAUGAGACAGUCAUCAUCUUCAAGGUGAAGAAAUACAGUUUGUCCCUUCCUCUCAAAAUGAAGAAAGCUACAUUCAUGUAUAUGUAUCUGGACUUCAUUAAUUUGUUUCUAUUUCCAUUUUGUUACCUCUCUGAGACAAGUAUGAAGCUUGUCUCUAAAAUUAUAGUUAUGUACUAUUACUCAUUUGAAAUGAUAAUAAUUACUCAUUAAUAAAUACUAAAAUAUUUGAAACCACAAAGCAUUUAAAUUCCUCAUAAGGGGCUAUAGAUGGAAUUAUAAGAGAAAAUACCCUUAAGGUGAUUCCCCAUGACGAUGAAUUAUUCCUGGAGAAUUUGCAACCCUACUGUGACCAUUAGUAUCUGCUGGAUUUCCCUGCUCUAAGAGGCUAAUGUAUCUGACCAACUAAUCAGAGGAACCAUGAGAGCAGAUGAUGCCUGAACCUUCAUUACUUGUCUUUCCUGCUUCUGUAAUUUUGAUGCUUUGUUAUUUUCUGUCUCUGUGCUCAAACACUGAUUGGUUAUUCAAACCAAUGACAAGCUGAAGAAUUGGACAGUCUUCCAGGUGAUUUAUUUUCUAUUUCUUAUUUCUGAAACCUAAAUGUAGCUCAUGUUGUGUAAGAAAAGUCAUCUCUUGACUUUCUGAAAAAUAAUUUUCUGAUCUUUGUCUUGUAUUGUCAAUAGCUUCCUAUACCCUAUACAAACACCAUUGCACUGGCGUGGUAGAGAAAUGCCAUCUAACCUUUUAUUUAAUGAUUAUUAUGUUGGCUGUACUAGAUAAACACAAACCACAGAAAUCAAAA